AUCAUUUCUCGGCCUUUUGGCUAAGAUCAAGUGUAGUAUCUGUUUUACCAGUUUAAUAUCUGAUACGUCCUCUGAGCACAACAUAUUAAAUGUAUUUUUGCAAGUAGGAGGUGCACUAGGAGCUUGCUCCAUCCACUCCCCGCAUCAGUCUGGUAUUGCUGUACUUCCAGGAUUGGUGCAGCCCCU